CUGGUACAAAACUUUGAAAGGAAACAUGACCAGUUGAUCAGAUGUGUUUUAACAAGAAGAUUUAAAAAGAAGCAAAGACCUGUGAAAUUUAGGAUUACCAAACUUAAAAUUAGUCCAACUAAAAAAUGCACAAAAAAUAACUGCAUCACGCAACAGUAUCUGUCCUGAUUCCCAAUACCCAUUUUGAAGCUGACACCAAAC
rnacentral:lncRNA from 1 species